rnacentral:rRNA from 1 species
UACGUAGGGUGCGAGCGUUGUCCGGAAUUAUUGGGCGUAAAGGGCGCGUAGGCGGUGUGUCAAGUCAGGCGUGAAAGCCCCGGGCUCAACCUGGGAACCGCGCUUGAGACUGGCACGCUCGAGUUCGGGAGAGGAUGGUGGAAUUCCCAGUGUAGAGGUGAAAUUCGUAGAUAUUGGGAAGAACACCGAUGGCGAAGGCAGCCAUCUGGACCGACACUGACGCUGAGGCGCGAAAGCGUGGGGAGCAAACAGG